rnacentral:rRNA from 1 species
UACGUAGGGUGCGAGCGUUGUCCGGAAUUACUGGGCGUAAAGAGCUCGUAGGUGGUUUGUCGCGUUGUCCGUGAAAACUCACAACUCAAUUGUGGGCGUGCGGGCGAUACGGGCAGACUGGAGUACUGCAGGGGAGACUGGAAUUCCUGGUGUAGCGGUGGAAUGCGCAGAUAUCAGGAAGAACACCGAUGGUGAAGGCAGUUCUGGUGGCCGUAACUGACGCUGAGGAGCGAAAGCGUGGGGAGCGAACAGG